ensembl:lncRNA
CCCGAGUGGUAACUGGGAGAGGGCUCCCCCUAAUAAACUGUGUUGCUUGGCCUGAAGUCCAGACCUCCCUGGGGAACAGACAAUCCUAGGUCAGGACUGCAGAAUGGCUGCUACAAGUUGCAGGCCUCGCGAUGAUUGGAGCGGGGAGAGAGCCUGCGAGCGGGUGCUGAGGUCCUUCUCCUCUCGCGGUGCUCGCGUCCCGGCUAGGUCCCCUCCACCGCUGCUGUGGGCGCCUGCAUUCUGCGCUAGGUGGCGAAAUGCUAUGGGGCUCCCCUAUUCGGGGGAAUGCGGUAGUGAUGUAUAAGGUAUGAAAGAUGUGGCCUGCAGAGAGCCGGCACUAUCUCUGCCGCUGCUGCUGCUGCUGCUGCCGCUGCCGCCACUGCCGCCGCUGCUGCGGGCGGAGCUGCUGGGAGUGAGCAUCCCCUGUCCGGGAUACCCAGCUCCUCGGCAUCUCCCGCGCGCCCAGGCCCCACACGGACCUGCCAGCCCCAGGGAACAAAAGCAGAGCCCGCUCGCCCUCCCUGCAGUCAGAGGAUGAGUCGAGAGGGCUGAGCGGAGAGUGCGGUCCUCGGCGGCUGGAAGAGAAGGGAACUGAGGCUUGGAGAAGCAGAGGAGACUUACCCAGGAACCCGCUGGCCAGUAACUGAUGAGCCUUAGGCUUGAACCCGGGUCUGUGACAACUGAAAGGUAGGCUUUCCACAGUAACCCGCCCCACGCGCACUCAGAUGAGGGCACGGCUGCAGGGGCAGCUCUGCGCAGAGCCUGGAGCGGCACAGCUCUUGUUGUGUAGCAUUUCCUUACACCUGGACGUGUUUCAUCAGUGAGUCAGCUUUUAAAACAGAAUUGUUUCUGAAUACCCUGGGACAGCUCCUUUCUUCCCUGUGGAAAAGAGGAAGACGGUCACAGAAGGGGGACCGUGGGCCCAGUGACGUCCACAGGUGGAGCAGAAGGAAAAGUCAGAGGGAGGAAGCCCUGAGCUUCAUUUAAACCUCUCAGUCCUGAUUCUAAAGCAAAGAGACAAUAACAACAAUGAGAACAGCUAACCUGUCUGAGAACAUUCACUGAAGCCUGGACCAGGAGCCUCUCAUUUGAUCCUCUCAACAACCCUAUGAGGUACAGAUGAUUGUUCCCAUUUUCCAGAUGAGGAAAUCGAGGCUAAAAACCUCAAGAUUUUAAAAAGCUAUUUAAAGGCUUUAAAUACGUAGUUUUAAAAUAGGCGGUCUGGAGGCCCUGUUCUGGCUGCAGGCUAUCUCCGACCUCAUUGUCUGCCCUGCUUCCCUUCCUCUGGCCACGGGGACCUGUUUUCUGUUCCGAAAACACAGUACGCAGGCAUCCUUCUCCAGGAGCUGCACCUGCUCGUCUCUGGCCCAGGAAUGUUCUGCUUGAACACGUUUGCAUGGAUCGCUCCCUCUCCUCGUGCUGGUCUCCUCUCAAAUGUCCCCUCAGGAAACUUUCCCUGGACACCACCAGUCAUGCCCGGUCCCCUUAACGUGGCUCGGCUGUUUUCCUACCUCUCAUUCUAUUCUGUGUCUGUCUGUCUGUUCAUUGUUUGGCCUCCUCGUAGAACAUAAAUGUCACAAGCAAGGAUUUUGUCUGAUUUAUUAACUGAUGUACCCAAAGCUUAGAACACUGCCUGGCUCAUAAUGAGCUUUCACACAUUGGUUGAAUGAAUGUUUUGUUAAAUGCACAAUUCAGUAGUCACAGGUUGAUUUCGUUGUAAGAACUUUCACGUAACUGAAUUCACAAAGCACAGACUCGAGCUGGCAACAUUGAGUCAUGUGUCUUUUCCACCCCUCACACUUACUGAGCCCCGCCCCCCAGGCUUGGGGAGGCACAGACCGCGAGAUGCAGCUCCAGCCUUCCUAGAAGCAGAGAGCAGCGAAAGAGCAAAGCUGGUGUAGAGACAGCACGCUGUGGUGUGGAGGAGCACAAGGUGACAGGGGACUCCCAAGGAGGAAAAUGUGGCCUCUGUCCUCAAGGCCUCCUACUGAGUAAAUGAAAUCUAUCAUUUGUCCUUUAGGGUGAGCUUGUUUAUUCUGUGAUUAGGAAAACAAGAAGGAAAUGAUCAGCUGAUGUGACUUUAUUUUUCCACCAGAAAUAUCCCUUACACAGGCUGGAAGGGAAAGGAGAUGCCAGGAGUAGGGCGCGCCUCCACUCCGGGUGUCAAGGAGAAGGAAGCAGGGUCUUUUGCUGUGUUAUUGACACUCCAGAGCACCACUUAUCAAAGAUGACAACUUAGAGCUUAGGGUUCAUUUCCUCCUCUAAACCACUUGACUGGUUUUUGCCAGAGAAGAGCAAAUGUCAGCCUCUCCCAUGGUUGGCAGAGCAGGCGUAGUAAGAGCCAUCCUCCUCAGAGCUUUCAGACAGCGGGUCCAAACCUCUUGGUGUAGCUCACCAAGGCCUGGAGCCUCGGCCCUGCCCACCACUCUGUGUGUUCUGUCCCCUCUGCACACGUGCUGGGCCCAGCAGUGCCCUGAGUGCGCUGUGCCGUUUUCCCUCCCUGGUUGUCUGCCCAGGCCCCUCUUUCUGGAAUCCCCUUCCUCUCUUCUUCCUUUGACUGUCUUCCCCAGUUCAUCCCUGUCAUCCUUCAAGCGUGCAGCUCAGUUGAAAUCUUCUCCAGGAAGCUUUCCCUGACUCCUUCCUGUCUCGCCCCUUCUCCCACUCCCAGCCCCACUACUAGGCUCCCAUAGACCCUUAGAGUGCCUUGUACUUAGCCAUCUUGAUGCUAAAAGUUUUCUCUGUACUCAUGUCUCCUCCCUCUUUAGACAGGAAGCUCUUAGAGGACAAGAAUUUUGUUUACGUUUGUCUUUUUAAAAAAUCUCCGUUCUCCUAGAAUUUUCUCCCAGGACCAGGCAAUUAAUGCUUAUUGAAUUCUGCAGACUGAUUAAGGACCUGUAUAGGACCUUCAAUCUUCCAUGCUUGGCUACCGAGGAACAGCUCUCGUUGUGCAGCAUUUUGGUUUUGGGUAUAGAUAAAUCAGUGACUCAAAGAGCUUAAAGGAAAAACACGGUACCCACCAGCCAGGCUGGGUUUGGUGUGAACACUCCAUAUCAGAAGGGAAAGCAGGGGAAUGGGGCCCACAGCACCAUGCAGCCAGGAGGCAGGAGACCUGGACGCUGGUCUUGGCCCAGCCACUAUCUUGCUGCGUGCCAAGUCAGGGCCUUUCUCUGGGCUUCUUUUACCUCCUCUGAAAAAAGGAGCACACCACGUGUGGACAGUGGCCGGGAUCCCCUGCAGAUCUAAAAUCCUACAACGCUGUGUUCCUGCUCACGGAUCACACACUUUUUCAUGGGCUCAAAGUUUGCAUUACAGUGUGUUGCCAUCGUGAAAGGUACACUCCUUUACUGCAUCUCAUUUGGGCUAGGAAUCAAGCCUCUGACUUCAGCAGAGAAACUUGGAAGACCCCACCGGUCACGUUUCUCAGAAGAAAGUACAUUCAAAUGGGGGAAGAAAAGAGAUGGAGAGUUAUCCAUUCACUGCUUUUUCAAGGCUCAAAAGUGUAGUUUAUUCUUUGUACUGCAUUUUUCCACAUAUUUUCUCAUUUAAUCUUACUGGAAUCCCUUUAAGGUAGCCAGGAUGGGCAACUAGGUAGCCAUUAAUGCCAUUCACCAGAAGCUUCUAGCUCUCCAUUCUUCUGAGAACACAGUAGGAGCAUGAUUCCUGGCCUGUGGUGGUGAGGGUACCGUGCAACCAGUCUUGUCCAAGAAGCUGUGAGCUUCCAGAAGUGGUAUUUGUUAACUUCAAGCUGAGCAUUUAAGUGCAGGUACGAGGCCAUCUUGAGUUGUUUGUUCCCUCUGCCACAGGGGCCAGAAGUAUUCCAGUCAGUGGCUGUUGCAACAGCCUGGAUCCUGGAGUGAGGUCAGAGAAGAGCCCCCCAGAUGAACUAAGAGAGACACAUAGCAUGAGCAAGUGAUUUUAAUUGUUUUAAGUCACUGACAUUUUGGUGCUAUUUGUUACUGCAUCACAACUUAACAUAUCUUCACUGACACAGGCAUUAGCCCCAUUUUUCACAUGGAGAAAUUGAAUCUUGGUGCAGUAAAGUACACAGACUUUCUCAGGGUCGUAAAAACCUCGUAAGUGCCCAAGCCUGGGAUUUUGAACUCAAGUCUUCUGACUGCACAUUAGUGCUAUUUUCUCUAUACCACACUGCUUCCUUAAUUAGCAUUAGGUAUUAAACUUGAUUUCAUUGGAAGCCACCCUGUGGGUCCUGGUUUUCAUGAGUAAUCUUUGGAAGGUAAAAAGGGAGAGUGACAAGAUCACAGACUUUGGAGGUAAGCAGAUGUGAACUCGAGUCCCGGCUCUGCUAAUGAAUAGCUUGGUGUCCUUUGCGUGUUGCUAAAAUGUGGUCUCCUAGGUCUUCUGACUCACCCAAGUCUGCAGAGAGUGGAAAUUCUGCACAGUAGGGAAUACUUACUGCUAAUGGUAUAAUAUCAAGCAUCAGUGGCUGCAUGGGUAGAUAUAUUGGGGUGUGGUCUGCCUUCCCAACAUUCUCAAUCAGAGAGGCUCAGUGACUUGCCUGAGGUCAUGCAGUAAGGGGCAGAGCCUCAGUCGCAACCCAGGCCUCUCUGAUUCCUUCCAGUAUGUCCCACUGCCUCCCAGAUGAAACGAGCUCUGCUGAAACCCUCAGCCCGUGAGGAAGGAGGGGCGCAGCCUGAGCUCAAUGAUUGACUUCACUGUGGAGAGCCUUCCCAUUUCUGUUCCUGUUUGUCGUGGAGUGUCAAGUUGAUUUACUCUUUGAAUAUUCCUCUGCUUUCUCUUACUCCGGCUGAGCGUUGAGAACAGCAGGCAUUGCCUUGGCAAGGUUACAGGAUAAACUUGCUGCUUUUAGGACAUCUGCAUCCAGCAAAACCUUUAUUUUCUCUCCCCUGGGCAUAAUCUUGGAAAAACACAUCUGUUGUUCCGGGUGCGUACCUGGCUGGCCUUAUUUUUCCUCCCUUGGAUGGGGAAAGAUUCUGUCAAGAUAUGAGCAAGAGUUUUCACACCCUCUGAAGUCACAGACCCUUUGUAUAUUAAAAAUAUAAACCCCUCGGAAUCUUGAUUGAAUUGUAAGGUUUUAUUUAAAAGCUGAGAGCACCACCUGUGUCCCAGCAUCCUCCAGUUCUCGGGUGUUGGAGUCUCUGGAGAUGCUUUCAGGGUCUCUCCUGACUGAGUCACUGAAGUGUGGGCAGCGGUGGAGGUUUGAGAGCGCAGUAAGAUGCCUGGUGGAGGUUUGAGAGCGCGUGUCCGGAUGCCUGCCCCAGGACACGUCUCCCGCCCCUUUCCUCUUGCUAAGCCACAUUUACACCUGGCUGCCUCCAAACUCAUCCUCUGCAGGGAGCUUUCCAGGACCUGCGGAGGAGAAACAGAGACCAGGCUAAGUUAAAAACUCAGUUCUGCUUCCUUCCUUCAUUCAUUUUAGAACAAUUAUUGGGCACCUACUCUGUGCCAGGCUCUGUUGUAGCCGCUGAAGGAGCACCGGUAAUCCACGCCCUCACCUCACUGCAGGUUAAACAGUGGAGAUUCAAAAAGCAACAAGGCAAUUACAAUAUGGUGUGACUGGUUAAUUAACGAGUAACUCACCAUUCAUUUAACAACACUGAGGGCUGAUCAUAUGCCGAGCACUGGGUUAAGUGCUGGGAAUGCAGCAGUGAGUCAAGUGGACAAACUUCUCUGGCCUCCUGAAGCUUCCCUUCAGGUGACGCAGGCAGGUAAUACAGUAGAUAAGUGUGUGAUGCAGUGGUACGUGGUAAUGAUGAGCACCAUGAAGACAAACAUGGGACAAUAAGUGGUGAGAGUGUGAUGGAGGGCAUGGUUUCAGCUGCGUGUCUGAGGGUUCUCCGAGGAGGUGAUGUCCGAGGGAGCCCUGUGAUGACAGCAGGGCCACGAGACUGGGUGUGCUGUGUCCUGUGGGGGCAUCUAACCCAUGUCCGCUGUGACUUUGGUUGAACCACUUGAUUUCUCUGAGCUUUCAUCUCUUCCUGUGGAGGAUGAGCAGGUUUACCUCCUCUGUGGAAAUACGAAGAGAAACCAUUCCCCUGCGAGCUGCCUUGCUCUCCCCACUGGGACCUGUGAAUUGCUUCCAUCGGCCCGUUCUUCAGAAGGCCUAGACUCAUGACAAUCUCAGCUUCAGUGGCGCAGAUGUGAAGUCACAGACUCGGCUUUGAAUCCCGCCACCAGAAAGCAGAUCGUCUCGCUUCCCUGAGCCUGAUUCCCUUACUGUGUGAUGGGAACAAUGAGCAGAACCUGUGGCUUCUGGUUAUUGCCAAGACUAAGCGAGCUGCUGCACUCAAUGCCUUUAACAGGACCUACCCUGCGCAAAGUGCUGUGGCUCUGUGUUCACUACAAUAAUGCUGCUCUCAUUAUAGUGAUUAAUAUUAAAAUAACAGCAAUUCAUGUGCAAGCCUCACCCACAUGUCUGGUCUGUCAUUGAUGCUCAGCAAAUAUUAUUGCCCUUCUCUUCCUCUUCUUUCUCCCUCUAUUUCCAAUGUUGUUUCCCCCUUCCCCUCUGUUCUGUUUGAUCCAGAGCCAAGAGAUCUGGUAUCUCAGGUUAGGCUCAAGGGAAAAACAAGGCAAAGGAAAUUCCUUCUUCUUGGGAACUUUCUUUGCACGUCUACAGAACUCCAGGCUCUCGUCUGAUCGCUUUGUAUGUGUAUUGGCCUAUUUGAGUCUCACGUUGACGCCAGAAGGUGUACAUGGUGACUAUCUCUAUUUUAUAGUUAUGGAAACUGAGAUAUGGUGUAAUUCAGUAACUUCUCCAGAGUCCCGGAGCUUAUUAGUCAAGGAGCUCUCCAGCCCGAGGCCCUAGAACAAGAACGGAUUUAGACUCAGGGCAGUAGUUCUGUAAGGAAUUAGGAUAGAGAAGAGGUGGAAGUCUUCUCCAUAUUGUGUCUCUCCAAAGCCUGAACGUGGCACAUGAGAUGCAAGGGGAACCUGAACCUCCAUAUGAGGAGGCUCUGCAUGCUCAAAGGCAUGUGGUGGAGGGGUGCCCCUGUCAUGGGCCCUGCUUCUCCUUUGAUCCCCCUCCCUCCUUCCCUGGGGCUGACAAGCAGGUCCACAGACAGUUGUAAAUUGUGAUCUCCGAGAAAGGCACCACAGAAAGACAAAGGGAAUCAUUAAAGAGAAGAAAUGGAGCCUCUUGCGUUUGAACUUGCAGCCCCUUGAGCACAGCAGUGCUGGGAGCCAGCGCUGCUUGUUUCACAACUCCGGGAUCAAUAGUCGCUGGCUCCCUGCAGCCUGCCCUCUGGGCACCAAGGUGCCCCUUGGGCACCCACCGAGGCAGGGUGCGGAUUCCCAGGCGCAGAAGCAGCACGAGAAGGACUGGAUCUCCAGCCUUGAGAAACUGCUGAUCUUUCCUUUGCCUUUUUCUUCUUCUGUAAAAGCAGCUGGCUUUGAGGAAUAGCGGGAGCACUUAGUCAGUUAGACUGCUGGCAUACCCAUUGAUCUCGGGGAGCUAAGGUGAGAAGAAAAUUACCAGCCUGUAACCCUUCUCUACCUUUCUCUCCUCUAGACCUGUUGGAAUGACAGGCAUCUCUUUCCCUCCCACUAUUUCUCUUUUCCUAUCCAUUGCUGUCUCUGUCUUCUUCAUUUUCAUUUUUUUCCUGACUUCCUGGCUUUCUUUCUCUUUCCUCCUCAUCUAGGGAGCAAUGAGACCAUUUGGUCAAUUUCAAAGCCAUUCUCUGGUUUGCUGUGGAUCAUCUGUCCACUGGGGUGACAGCACUGUGCAUACGAAAGCUUGGGGAAUCAGACAGAUGUGAAUUCAAGUCCUGGUUUUGGUUUAUUUGCUAUAUGACCUUGACUUUAGCCUUAGUCUUCUCCUCUUUAAAUAUGGAUCUGAUCAGCUUAUGAGUGUUCUUGUGAGUGGCCUAUGGCAAGUGAUCCACAGAUGCUAAUAAUCAUCGUCGUUGUUGUUGUUAUAUAUAAUUAUUAUUCUCUAUAGAGAAGGCGUAUGAAUAAGGUCAGUCCCUGCCUGCCUCAGUCCCACCAGAUUUCAGCAACAAUCAUUGCUCCUUAAGGCUCCAUCUUCUCAGGGUCUAAGCCAAUAACAGACCAGCUUAUGGAAUAUGAAGCUCUGUCUUCAGAGAAGGGUCUAGAAAAGUCAGAUGUGGGGUUACGCAGAGUGAAGGUGGUCUGGGAAGAUCCUCCGCCUCCCCCAGGAACAGCAUAGGGCUGCAGCUUCCCCAUCUGGCCUCUCCACGUGUGUCUACUCUGGCCACCCAGUCUGCUCUCCAGUUCCUGGUUCCCGCUCCGGUUUCCCACUGGGAUGGGAGCCCAGGCUGGAACUCUCAGCCUGCUGAGACCUCAGGUCCCUGCCAGCCCUGGAUUCCAGAGCUCAGGGAUUCUUCUUUGGCAUGGGGUACGGGUGAUACUGCAAAAGCAUGGUGCCGGGGUGGCGUAGCUAGGGAAGUUCUGGAGGUUGGCUUCUCAGCCUCCCCAGGGCCCCUGCAGCAAAGGGGCCUCUGUCACUGCCCUCAGAGCCAUCGGCAGUAGUGUCAUUGGAAGGCAUUGAGUGGGAGGGGAGCAGGAUUUAUUCAUGAUUCUUGACAUUGGCAGAAAUACCCUGUUAUUUCUGAAAGAGAGCUGGAUUUGGAAUCAGAAGAUUUGAGUCUGAGUCAUGGCUCUGUCAUUCACUAAUUAUAAAAACGUGGGCAUGUCAUUUAACUUCUCAAAGGCCAUCCUCUAAUGUGGACGUAUCCAGCACAGUGCUUGGUAAUGCUAGUUCCUUCCUUUAUUAAAACAUGCUUGUAGGUGUGGGAUAUUCCUCACAGAUUCCUUCUCUGCUUGGAGAGAUGAGGUGUUUGUAGCCGACUCCAGUGACCAUAGAGAAGGCAGUGUGGCACUGAGGGUGAGUGCAGGGACUCCUGUGUGGGACUGCCUGGGUUCACGUCUCUGAUCUACUCAUCAGCUGGGAGCUUGAGUGAAUUCCCCUACCUCUGUACAUCUCCAUGCUCUUGACUGUAAAUGGGGUUGGUGAUAUUUGACCCUGACUCAUACAGCUGUUCUGAGGGGACAUAAAGCUCUUAGAGCCAUAACCUUCAUAGAGGAGUCCUUGUCCCAGUGAUCACUGCUGUUAUUAUGUGUCCCACUCACAAUAACCCCCCUUAAAUGCCUCCUUCAUCCACAGCCAUUUUCUUUCUUUCACUCCCUGGCCAUAUUUGAUUGGACUAGGGGUGGGCCCCUGAUCUGAAGUGAGGCCGAUCAGAGUCCCUUCCCUGGUAAUUUGGGGAUGAAACCAAGUAAUGAUGUGAGUGUAUGUGAGUGUGUGUGUCUAAGAGACAGACAAACAGAGAGAGGAAGAAGGACUUGUGACAACUAUGCUGAAAAGGUUUGGGACAAACAUCUUCCGCCUACUUUCCACCUGGGUUGACAGGAGUGCAGGAAGAGAAACAGGGAGAGACUCACAAAGAGAGAUAGAGACAGAGACAGAGAGAAGCAGUGAGAGACGGAGGGAGGAAAAGAGAGACUGAAGCAUGCACACAGAGUAGAACACAGGUGAGAGACAGAGGUGGAGUUGAGCAGCUUUCUAGACCCUGGUUCUAGUGCCUUCUUGAAGCGCAGGUGCAUUUCUAACCUUGGGUUCUAGAGGUCACUAUUGUGUCAUUGUAAGAAAGCCCCUGAAUCAGUUGGGAUAGGCUAAUUUGUGCUGCAGUAAUGAGCACUCCCCAAAUCACAGUGAUUUAAUAAUACACAGAUUUUUCUCAUUCUAUGUGCCAACCUACAUGCUCACCAGGGAGCUCUUUCUUAUCGUCAUCACUCAGGGACACAGUCUUUAUCUUGACAUGCUUCUACAAUAACUUUGGUAGGGAAGUUAAUGUGGCAAAUGUGCACUGGCUCUAAACCUUGCUCUUGCAAGUGACACACAUUGCUUCUGCUCACAAUUUCAUUGGCCAAACAAGUCACAUGACCACACUUAUCUUCAAAGGAGUGGAGAGGUACAGCUUUACCAUGCAGCAAUAAGGGUACCUAGACUAUUUCUGAACAUCCUCUAAUAAUUACUGCACCCUCUUUUCUUCUCAAUUUGUCUUGAAUUGCUUUCUAUUAAAAAAGCAAAUAAACAAAAAGUCCUAACUAGCAGAAGUGAUAAAAGAAGAAAUUCUCAGUUCCUUCGGUGGUUGGAUCUUAAGUUGGCUGGGACAAACUUCAGUGCUUUUGGACCCUAGAGAAGGAGCAAACCAAAGCGGGGAUAGAGUUAUGGGAACUGGAUGAAAGACGUGGUAUUUGAGCUGGGCUCUGGAGAGUGGGAGUAUUUGCCUGGCACCUUCCUGUUUCGGUCUUUGAAACUUGAAAAUUGCACAUGAUGUGUUGGAUUUGGGGGUUCUGCAGGCUGGAGCCUGCAUCCCUGCUCUUUAGGGACCGAAUGAGCUGAUGAAUGGCAAGCACCUAGAAUAUUACCUGGCACUGACUAGCUGUUGAGGAAAUGUUCCUCGUCUUUCCUUAUCUCCUUACACUAUAAUCAUCUCUUUUUAGUUACUGCUGCUGCAAAGUUUUCUUCUUAUUUUCCCCUGGGGGAAUCUAAACACUUCAUACUGGCAGUAUCAUUGGGAGUCGUGUGAUUGAGGGGUUUGCCAUUUUACUGGGAAGACUAGUUUAAUUGUUGGCAUAAAGUUCGUUGCCUUGGUGUUAUAAGCCAACAGACUUGAGGCUCUGAGAUACCAUCUGCUUCUCGAAAACAUUUUUUUUUUUUCAAAUAUCAUUUUCCAUUUAACUUCAGAGAUACAUUUUUUUUUACCUAUUAGUGGAAAUCUGGGGGUCUUAUUAUUCUUUCCUUAUGAAUAGUAACCUGUACAAUGAAGACAAAGAGAUGUGGGUGUAGAGUAGUAGUUGAAGCCUCGCGAGAUAGAGUUGUAUUUCUAAGACACAGCUCUGGAGUGGCUUUCCUCUGCUCUAAAACCACCAGUGGGUCCCCGAUGACCAGAGAGUGAAGUUCAGGUGCAGUUUCAGGAAAAUCUCCCCUGCUGUUUCGUACUUCCCCAGUUUUCGCUUUUGCUCAUCUCAUUCCUUCAUUUUGUACCCUUCCUCUCAUUUCAAACCCUGAAAUCAGCUGGGCAGCAAAAUGUUUAGAAUGCAGUUGGUUGCAUGUAAUAGAAAACCCAACUCAAACCCAACAGUAGUGGAACUUACUGGCUCAUGCAUUUGAGAAGUCCGCAAGCAUGGCAGAACUCUAGGUUGGUUUGCACCUGUGGCUCAUCAAUAUCACAAAGGUAUGUUCUUUCUGUCUCUUGGAUCUAUCUUUUAUGGAGCCGAUUUCAUCUCCUUGACGUCUCAAGAUAGCUGAUAAUAUCCCCCUGGGCCGCAUGCCUCAUACUUCUCUUGGGCAGCAGAGUAACAUAUCUAUUCAUUCAACUCCUGAACUAAUUUCCAAGCUUCCUCUGAUUAUACCUUUAUAAGUCAGUUUCCCAGUCUGGAUUGCUCUGGCUAAUGUAAUGGUUUGCACUAAAUGCCUUAAGCCUGGGUUCUAUGUGCAUUCCUGAAUAAGUAACAGAGACAAGUUGCCUUAGGCCAGCUAGCUGCCUAUCUCCACCCCAAACCCUACCUGAAUUUCCUAGUUUGAAAUUCCCUAGUUGGAAUUUCCAAGUCUGUAAGAAAGGACCCUGGAAAGUAUGUGUGCUGGGGCUGCAACCAUCAGUACGUCUAACACGGUCAACACUUAACCUUGUCUAUAUACUCAAGAUAUGUUUAUGGGACACCUACUACGUUCCAGGUAUUCUACCAGAUACAGUCUUAGGCUUAAAGGAAGUUGCAUCUAGUGGGGGGAAAGACAAAUACAGAACAUUCUGAACCUUUGUUCCGGUGCUGUGAUAGAGGUAAGCACAAGGCCCUGGAUGAUCCGAGAGAAGAGGAGAGGAGCUCCACUAUGGAGAUGGGAGGUGGGUGGAGUCAGAGAGGGCUUUCCAGGGGAGGUGAUGCCCAGCAGAGUUUUAAGCAGGAAAUUGGAUUUAAUCAGGUGAGAAGGUGAAAAAAGGGGAGAGGAAAGACUACUAUUCCAGACAGAGCACAGUAUGUGCGAAGGCAGAGCAGUGGGAGAAAGCAGAGUGGUUUGGGUGAGGCAAGAAGCUCGGUACAGCAUAGGGUCAAGAGCGCGGACUCCCACAUGGGAAUGCCUGGAGUCACACACCAGUUCUACCACCUACUGACCGUGUGAUGGGUAAGUUGCUUGACCUCUCUGGCCUUUAGUUUCUCCAUUAUAAAAUAGGUAUAAUAAUAAUAAUAAUAAUAAUCACUACCUUGUUAAGACUGUAAAAGUGUCAGCAAUUGUUGUCAUGGCCGGGGCCGUGUGCUUGUAUGGGCAUACGUGCUUAUCUGUUUGGAAGAAACCGCAUCUGGGACGCGGAAGGGAAACCUAGGGAAAUUUGAUGUUAUGCAUUAUACUGUCUUGCUUUCCUUUUGGUUUCAGCCCUGACAGAAAUCCAAGGUCUGGGAACUAUAAAAAAAGUCUUUUCUAAAUUGCUGGUCUGGGCUGCUGAGUCAGGGAUAUUUUGCAUGAUCAUAUCAAUGUUGUCAUCUUAUCAUUACUAUAAUCACUGCUGCUUAGCAAUUUCCUCAGCUCAGAAAGUGAAUCAGGAGAGUUUGUGCUUCAAGAUUUGUGCUUUCCAAUCAGAGGCGUCUUAGAUGUUUGUGCUUUGGAACCGCUCUGCUUUGACUCCUGCCUUGUCGUGUGUGUAGGUUUCAUUCUCAUACCAACUCUGUGAGUUAGGUCUUGUCACCCCAUUUUGCACAUGAGGAAACUGAGAUUUGGAGAAGUUAAGCCACUCGCCUACUGUCAUAUAGACGGCAGGACUGCACUUCCAGCCCGGGACUGUGGCAGCUAGGGUUUUUGCUUCUGUGUGUGUGGUUUUUUUAAUCUUAAAAAUGGGAUAAUGAUAGUAACCACCUUCAUAUUAGUGUGAAGAUAAAGUGAGAUAGUGCUUGUGAACCAAUCAGCACCAUGACUGGCCCAAAAUUAAAUAAAUAGAAAUAAAGCUUUGAUCAAUUAGCUCUGCUACUGCUGAUGACAUUUGCCUUUCUCAUGUUUUUACUAAAGAUCAAAUUAACUAAGGAGCGUGAAGACAAGUGUAGGGAGGGAAGACCAUCCGUAGAGACCAGUAUAAGAAGAGUCCAUGAUGACUGGUCUUGUUACAGUUGCACCCCACCCCCCAGCGCUCACUGCCCCAUCUGCUUUAUUUUCUCCAGACAACUCAUCUCCAUCUGACAGACUAUAUUUUACUUACUUGUCUUUUAUUUUUGCAUGUUCCCCGCUAGAAUGUAAGCUCCCUGAAGGCAGGAAUUACAGCCUGUCUUGUUCUUUGCUGUGCCCCCCAUCCCUGGAACAGAACUUGGGAAUAAGUGCUCAAUAAUAUUUGUAGAGUGAAUGAAUUAACUAGCAAAUUAAUACAUCAAUUUACAAUUAGAAAAAUGACCUUUCAGGACCCUUCCAUUUUUGAGAUCCUAUGAUUCUGUGAGUUUCCAUGCAUUUCUCAAUUGUUCCUGCUUUUAUUUUAUUUUAUUUUUUUUGCUGAGGAAGACUGUCCCUGAGCUAACAUCCAUUACCAGUCUUCCUCUUUUUUUCUUGCUUGAGGCAGAUUGACCUUGAGCUAACAUCUGUGCUAGUCUUCCUCUGUUUUGUACAUGGGUCGCUGCCACAGCAUGGUGUAGGUCCGCACAUGGGAUCUGAACCCAGAAACCUGGGCCGCUGAAGCAGACCACUCUGGACUUAACCACUACGCCAUGGGCGGCCCCAUUUAUUCCCACUUUUGAGGGCUAGGACAGUGGGAAGGUAUUUUGCUGGCAGGGUCCCAGGAACUUCAUGAAUCUCGAGCCUCGCGUGGUCAUGAGCAUUAUUCUCCAUGGGUUCAUUCUUUAGGCUCAGGAGUGACUGCUUCCACGUUUGGCUGGCAUCACCUGUGUGUCAAACAUCAAUACCACGUCAAAAAGCAAGAACAUCGUGCUUUUCUCAGCACACACUCAUGGAGGGAAGUUGCAGUCAUGGUCCUUGCACACUUCUGUUAGCAGGCCAGCAGCUGAGGCUGCACGAUCUUCUCACUUUCUCCUUUGAUCUAGAUAGAGUUCUGAAUCGUUUCUCACAUGGACUCCAGAUUUUCCCCCAUCUGUCCUAUGUGUUUUCCCAGGAUAAUACAGAUCACAUCAGAGAUAGUGUUUUCUCAACUGGGUUGGCAGCUGCCUUCAUUUCUUACCGAGUACCCUGCAUGAGAGAACUGAGCCUUUUAUAAGCAAAUGCAGACUCUUCUCAUUACUUCCUGUCCUUGUGGCCACUCUUGCUAGACAUUUUUUGGGGGUUCUUGUUCUUCUUGGUGUCCCCAGGGCUCUGUUCUACUCCCUAUCCACACAUCUCACUGGGCCACCUCUCAUAGGAGUUCCAUCCAUGCCCAUGGCUUCAACUGCCAACUUCAUGCUGAAGACUUCUCUGCAGUCGGGUCUCUCUCCUGAGCUCCAGACCCUGAUUUCCAUUGCGAGCUGGACAUCUCCACCUGGAAGUCCCACAGUCUCAACAUGUUCACACUUAAAUCAUCAUUUGUGGCUUUAAGCCUGCGUUCUUAUUUCCGUGGAUGGCAACACCAUCCAUCUAGUCGCACAGGACAGAAAGCUGCUUGUUAUCCAUGAGUUUUCUCUCCUUCUCACUCCUUUCUCACUUCCUGGCCUCCAAUUGGUCUUCUAGAGAUGCAGAUUCAGCAUCCUGAUGGCUCACAAAACUAGCCACUCCUCAUUUGUAUAUUCCAGUAACAGACUCUCAUCAAAUCUCAAUUACAUGCUUUUAAACCUCUUUGCCUCCAGUCUUUGCUUUCUCAAAUGAAUUCAGCUCACAGGAACAGAGCAAUGUUUCUAAAACACAGCUUCAAUCAUAUCACAUGAUCUUCAAUCAUAUCAAAACAGGAGUGAGUCUAAGCUUUUUGCUCUGGCCUUGACCCGGCUCUCUGGCCUGUCCACCACGAUGAUCCUUGGUUUCCUCAUCUACAAAUUACAUAUACUAAUCCCUCUCUCCUAGGGUCAUAGUCAGGAUCGAAUGAGCUAAUCCAUGGAGUAUGUGUCAUAUUUGCCCGCACUAUGUCUGGCACACAGUAGGUGCUCAAUACAUGCCCAUUCCCUUCCUGCCUUCUUCCUGAACCAUCAUUUAGAACUGAUCAGUGGAGAUUUCUCUCCUGUAAACUGAGCCUGAAGCAUUUCUACCUGCCUUUCUUUUGCUGCGGCACAAGCUGAAUGCACCCCCCACCCUGCCCCCGAUUGCAUGUCUGUGAUGACAGAUCAUCAAGUAAUUAGGGCAGCGAGCAUUUGAAAUUGUGUCAGCUCCCUGAUGGUUCAGUUCCGCAGCGCCUGGCCUAGUACUGAGCGAGGCAUGUGCUUCUCUCCAUGCUGUUUCCCCAAGAACCCUGGCCUCCGCCUAGGGUGGCUGGAAGGAAGGCAAAGGGAAUCCUGGAAUACUGGCGCCGUGAGCAAGACCAGCAACUUUCCGUCUCUCCACAGGAGGCUUUUGAGGUGGGUCUUUGGCGGUGGGGUGAAGGAUAAAAACAUGAGUUGGAAUCAGAAGACGUUGGCUCGAGUCCUGACUCAAACUCUUACAACCAUGUGUCUAGGAAGAGUUCCCUAAACUUUCUGAGCCUCAGUUUCCCCAGCUCUGAAAUAGGGAAAAUGCUCUUUAUCUCACUGGGUUCUUGGAAAGGUCAGAAUAAAUAAUGGAUGAAUGACACAAGAUAUAAUUUCAAAAUGGAGACACUAAGUGUUGAUAUUAGAUGCGCUGUGCUGAAAAGGUGUGUGAGGACACAAAGUGGUAUUCUCAGAGCAGACUUUCCUUUCCACUUACUGUCUAGGUGAACUGAAUGAACUUAUUAAUUAUCGUCGCUGAGUCUUAAUAUAUUCAUUUUUUAAAAAUUAUUAUUUAUUUUUUGGUGAGGAAGAUUAGCCCUGAGCUAAAUCUGUUGCCAAUCUUCCUCUUUUUGCUUGAGGAAGAUUGUUGCUGGGCUAACGUCUGUGCCAAUCUUCCUCUAUUUUGUGUGUGGGAUGCUGCCACAACCUGGCUUGAUGAGCCAUGUGUAGGUCCGUGCCUGGGAUCCCAAUCUGCGAACCUCGGGACGCCGAAGUGGAGCACGCGAACUUAACCACUACACCACCAGGCCAGCCUCAGUAUAUUUAUUUUUAAAACAGGGAUAACUGCCUUCUCACUUCCUAGGAUGGGUUAUGUAUAUGUUCUUGGCAAACUGUAAGGUACUAACGAUUGUUAUUAUCACUGUUAUUCACGCUAAUAAUGGUGAAUAUAAUUAUUUAUCUUUAUUAAAUCAGGACAGUGAGUAAUACUGUUCUUAAGAGGAUAGUGCCUCAGUUGGAAGCUAUGGACAAAUCACUUAAUCUCCCGAGUUGUUUCCUCAAAUUAAGUUAAGAGGGUGAGUUUGAUGGGCACCUACAAAAGGACCUGGUAUACAGUAGGAGUGUAAUACAUAGAAACAGAGUAAGUGCUAAAUAAAUGCAUGUUGGAUAAAUGAAUGAGUGAAUGAAAAGUAAAAGUUAUCUCAUGGGGUUAUUUUGAAGUCUAUACGGAGUGAGAAGGUGCUUUCUGUGCUCUGGAGUGAGGCACGUGUAUGGGAAUAGUAUCAUAUGGCAGAUCAGUCAUAAAGCACACCUGGCUUUCUCCUGCCAUCUCCUGCCAGCAGUUUCCUCGAACGUGUCUUUGUGAGCUCUUCUAAUGCAGCAAAGAUGGAGUCCCCACACUCAGCCCUCUGGGGACAGGGCCAAGCUGACUGUGGAGGUCAAGGACGCUGUAGUUUUGUGGUGACACCAAGCAGAAGUGACCGCGAUAGACACAUCGGAGAUGGCUUUGCCUUACUCCAUUCCCACUCGUUUUCAUAUGGUCCCAUUUGGAAAAACACUGAAUACAAGAGUCAGAGAUUUAUGGUGGUUUAACCUGCAAAGUUCCUUUUGAGGUUCUAGACUGCUCUAGAAAUCUGUGCAGAUUUCUUUUAAGCUUUACUAUGUUCCUGACAAAUGGUGAAUGAAUAUGUCUCUUUUUUCUAAAUGUAGUUGAAUUAAGGAAAGAAAACUCUCCUGUGUGGACUUUGAAAGCAUUAGAGAAUCUUACUAUCUCAGAAUCUUGCAGACACGAAGAUGCUUAGAUACGGGUUUCUACUACAACCUCCCGCGCAGUUUCUUCUACCUCACGGUCAGCAAGUGGCCGGCCAGCCUCUGUGUGCUUCUUGCCGAGAUGGGACGCUUGCUGUUUUACUUGGCAUCUCAUCUGCUAAGCCAGUUUCAGCCUGCGCUGAGCUUUUCCUCCUCCAGCCUACUUCCGCCCUCUGGAGUCUUACAGUGGAAACCUUGUCCCUCUGCGAGGUGUCCCACUUCAAAUGUCUGAGAAUUGUGCUGUUGUCCCCUCUUCUCCUUUUCUUUAUGCUAAGCCUAUGCUUAAAUUCUUCUUGCGGGGCCAGCCCGUGGCCGAGUGGUUAAGUUCGCGCACUCUGCUUCAGCGGCCCAGGGUUUCGUCGGUUUGGAUCCUGGGUGCGGACAUGGCACUGCUCGUCAGGCCAUGCUGAGGCGACGUCCCACAUGCCACAACCAGAAACACCUACAGCUAGAAUAUACAACUAUGUACUGGGGGCUUUGGGGAGAAGAAGAAGAAGAAGAAAAAAAAAAAAGAUGGCAACAGAUGUAACGCUCAGGGCCAAUCUUAAAAAACGUUCUUCUUGCUAUAUUACUGUUUGCAAGAAUAAUAUAUGAUAUUUGUUGAGAUAAAGCUUAUUAUGUGCCAGGCACUAUGGUAAAUGCUUGCUUGCUUGCUUUUUAAUCCUCACCAUGGCCCGUGGGUAGGCAGCUCUCCCUGCCCGGCCUUUCCAGGUGAGGUGGGGAGGUGCCGCCCAGCUAGUGAAUGGCAGGGCUGGGAUCUGAUUCCAGGGCGCUGGCUCCAGAGACUGCACUCCCAACCCCUAGACGUGUCCUCCCCCCUUUUAUAAUGUUACUGAUAAAAUAAUAUAAAUAGUAUUAUUUUAGGUACCAAUUGUUGGUAGGCUGCUAAUUGCUGAGCUGUGUGCUGUUUCAUAAACAAUAACUGUCAUCGUCACGAGAGCUGGGCAAGGAGAGGCCAGUGUGUGCAGGAGAGGAACCUGCGUGCCAGGGGCCGGCGACUGCUCUCACCUCCCUCUUCUUUGUCAGGGAAGCUCGUUCACUCACGCUUGCCUUCUGCACCGUUCCGUGAGCGCCUUCGCUGUGCCAGGACAGUGCGAGGCCCAGACGUGCAGGCACGGACAGUACAGGGGUCCUUUCCUCACAGUGCUUAUGGUGUAGUAGCGAAAUCAGCAUUAAUCAGCUAAUUAUUAUUAUUAGUUUACGUCAUGAUGUUAAUCAACUCAAGCAAGGAUAAUAUUAUAUUCAAUAGUAUGGAGGAUAAGUGAAGUGCGUAAUGAGAGUGGAUGACAAGGGGUCCGAGACUGUGUGCUGAGGAGGAAUUAAUUAGUCCAAGGGGGAGCAGGGCGGGGGCAGGGAGCACGCCAGCCACAGGGAACAGCAUGGGCGAGGCGCUGAGGUGGUGUUGGAUCCAAGGGGAGGGAACUCCAGGGCCAUGGUGGAGAGACAGGCCCGGGGGGCUGGGCCCUGCUGAGCCGUGAGGCCAGGAGGUUAGCGUUUGAAAUGGGGAGUAUUUGAUUUUGUUUUGAAAGGAUCGCUCUGCCUACAGAUUGGAAAAUGGGCAGGUGAAGAGCAAGGAUCACAAUGCCUAGUGGUAUCUCAUGAGGAGGACUCUCAGCCCUCGAGCUGGACUCCAGGUGUCUGUGGAUGCCGCGAGCGGCCCCUCCCGGGGCAGCAGUGCAGGGCAGGGGUCGGGAC